GGGCGGGGCGCGAGUUCGCGCGUGCCCCGCCCUGCGUCGCUGAGGUGAGGGGCGGGGGGCUUCGGCUGUCGCCCCUCAGAACGGUCCAACAGCCUGACCCGCCGUCGCCGCGGCUUCCCCGCCGGCCGUUGCUGUGGCUGGGCGAGCUGGGCUCCACCUGACGGUGGAGCUGGCGGGCGAUGGCUGGGGCCUGGGCCGCAGGGUGCCGGCAGGCCGCCGCCCCAGCGCUCGCCCGUGCCGGGGAGGUGGGAGUAGCCGCCGCUUUCAGUCAGGCGAACCAGAAAGAGAGAAAUCGAGUCUAAAGAAGUGAUAUUCUGUCCUUCAUGCUUUAAACGUUGUGAUUGAAGAAAACAAAGUAAUUCAGUUCUAUAUUUGUAGUGGUGAGAUGAAAGCUGAGUUGGCUCUCUGGAAAGCUGGAAGGGAAAGUGCUAAAGUACCCUUUGAGUCUUUUCUUGCAAGACAUAUCGGAGAUCUCGGGGGAAGCCUGUUGUCCUUACUCUUCCAGCCAAGUUCUGUAGUCAGAGGAACUCUGGAAAGCUUCAUAAUGGCAACCAAUACAACAACAGCAUGCUGCACUGUAAUAAGGAAAAGUUAUUUCUGUUCUGGUGCCAGAAUAAUGUCCCCAAAUCCACAGAUGAGUCAUGAGAGUUCAACGUGCUUUGCCUUUACCUCUCAGCACUGUACUCAAGUUCUUCCAGUCAAGGGACCACCAUGAUUCGCACGUCAGAAACAUUCAAAGUAGCUGAGAGAAUCUGGAGCCACGUGCAUAAAGUAUAAAGAGCACAUAACCCUGUUUGAGAAGUUGUUCAUCACUUAGUGGAUUCUAUACCUGAAGAAAAGCAGAUUAAGAACUCGGACGCUUUAGGUGUCAAAAAGGCAGUUUUCAUUCUAAGUGGAAUGGAAGUGUUAUCUUAAAAGUAUCUUAGAAGCACCUUCCCUCCCUUUGACCCAUAUAAAAUCUGUGGAAACCUUGUUAAAUAUCCAAGAUAUGGCAAUAUUUUUCAAAUGGCUAAGAUAGUUAAAUUCCAUUCUGGUGACCAUCUACACUGUAAACAGUGUGUGUAAUCUUGAAUUUGAAGAGGAAGUCUCUAAAGAAAACUUUAUUAAUGUGUUCUGCAAAUGCAUGCAGUUUUGCAAGUGCGUUAGCAUGGUCACAGAGGAGUGUGUCAUAAUGUGUCGUGUAGUUUGGUAUGCUGUGUCCAAUCGUGGCUGUUGGGGGAUGAUUUGGAGGAUGAUGGAUGGAACUCCGGAACAGGCUGUCAGAACAAGUUGUCCAGGGAAGGCAGGGGAAAAGGAGUGGAAAGGUUCUUCCUUGUCUCUUCUCAGCCACUGUUUGACAUGCCAUGAAGUGUGAAUGUAAUUUCCUUCUCUAAUAAAACAUGGAAUGUUUUUAUAAUCUGUCAUCGAUCACCAAAUCAUAAUGGUAAAGUAUCUGUAGCUGAUCCAUGCAAUCACACCAUUUUUAUAGUGCUUUCAAUUAUAAUUUUAUUAAAGAGUGGAAGAUGUUCUGUGAGAAGUAUUGCAAAAUAUCUGUUCCAAAAUGAGUGGGAAGCAUGUCUUUACAAUGUUUUAAAUUCCUUUUCCAAGCUUAUUAAAGCCAGUUAAUUAUGUGCUGUUACACUUUGGUUCCAUUAAAAGUCAGUUAUAAUACAGACUGAA